rnacentral:misc_RNA from 1 species
UCCGCUUUACAGCGGCAGUUUGUUCCGAGUCCCCGACUUUACUCGCUGGUAACAGAACAUGAGGGUUGCGCUCGUUGCGGGACUUAACCCAACAUUUCACAACACGAGCUGACGACAGCCAUGCACCACCUGUGCACGCUCCCUUGCGGGUCAUCCCUGUUUCCAGGUCUUACCACGUGCAUGUCAAGUCUAGGUAAGGUUCUUCGCGUUGCGUCGAAUUAAACCACACGCUCCGCUGCUUGUGCGGGCCCCCGUCAAUUCCUUUGAGUUUUAGCCUUGCGGCCGUAGUCCCCAGGCGGAGCACUUAUCGCGUUAGCUUCGGCACUGGGGGGGUCGAUACCCCAACACCUAGUGCUCAUCGUUUACGGCGUGGACUAC